CAAUAGCGUAUAUUAAAGUUGUUGCAGUUAAAAAGCUCGUAGUUGGAUUUCUGGUGGGAGCGAUCGGUCUGGCGCUUAGCGCGAGUACUUGCAUCGUCUCCGGCCAUCCUUGGGGAGAGUCUGUCUGGCAUUAAGUUGUCGGGCAGAGGAUCCUCAUCGUUUACUGUGAAACAAUUAGAGUGUUCAAAGCAGGCUUAUGCCGUUGAAUAUAUUAGCAUGGAAUAAUAAGAUAGGACUUUGGUACUAUUUUGUUGGUUUGCGCACCGAAGUAAUGAUUAAUAGGGACAGUUGGGGGUAUUCGUAUUCCGUUGUCAGAGGUGAAAUUCUUGGAUUUACGGAAGACGAACUACUGCGAAAGCAUUUACCAAGGAUGUUUUCAUUAA
rnacentral:rRNA from 1 species